rnacentral:rRNA from 1 species
UACGUAGGGUGCGAGCGUUGUCCGGAAUUACUGGGCGUAAAGAGCUCGUAGGUGGUUUGUCGCGUUGUUCGUGAAAACUCACAACUCAAUUGUGGGCGUGCGGGCGAUACGGGCAGACUGGAGUACUGCAGGGGAGACUGGAAUUCCUGGUGUAGCGGUGGGAAUGCGCAGAUAUCAGGAGGAACACCGGUGGCGAAGGCGGGUCUCGUGGGC